rnacentral:SRP_RNA from 1 species
GCCGGAGGCGGUGGUGCGUGCCUGUAGUCCCAGCUACCCGGGAGGCUGAGGCAGGAGGAUCGCUUGAGUUCAGGAGUUCUGGGCUGUAGUGCACUAUGCUGAUCGGGUGUCCGCACUAAGUUCGGUAUCACUAUGGUGACCUCCUGGGAUUGGGAGACCACCACUUUGUCUAAGGAGGGGUGAACCAGCCGAGGUCAGAAACGGAGCAGGUCAAAACCCCUGUGCUGAUCAAAUCAAGAACUCAAUACCAUUUAUAACAGUUGCAAAAAAAUAAAAUAAAAUACUU